UACAGAGGAUGCAAGCGUUAUCCGGAAUGAUUGGGCGUAAAGCGUCCGUAGGUGGUUUGUCAAGUCCGUGGUUAAAGCGCGAAGCUCAACUUCGUAAGGGCCAAGGAAACUGACAGACUAGAGUGAAGUAGGGGUAGAGGGAAUUCCCAGUGUAGCGGUGAAAUGCGUAGAGAUUGGGAAGAACACCGGUGGCGAAAGCGCUCUACUGGACUUAGACUGACACUGAGGGACGAAAGCUAGGGGAGCAAAUGGG
rnacentral:rRNA from 1 species